AAAAAAUUAAAGAUAUUUAUAUAUAUAUAAAUUAAGAAAAAAAACAAAUAUACUUUUUUAUAUAUAAAAAGAAAGGGUUUGAGUUACUCAAUAGUAAUUUGAUUUAUAUAAAAAUUAUAGAUCAGUAUCUUGUCUAUUAGAAUAGACUAUAUUUUGUACCUAAGUAAUUGUCUGAUUGUGUGUAGAUGUCUCCAGGUUCGAUGUGCCUGCUGCAGGUGGCUGGUGAACUGAGCCGUGAUCAACGCAAGGUUUCUUGCAGGCCCGUGUGGACAGGAGGAGCCGCUGCUGGCCUUCAGGACUGGAAAGUAUGCGCUCUGUGGCCACAGUCCCACCUCUCAGCCUGGGAACGGAAGCAGGGAGUCGCAAGGGAAAACAAGCAGACAAUCAGUGCCCUGGGCUUUGCAAUGGAUAGCUUUCCCCCACCCUCCUGCUCCGAAUGGCCACCCCCACCCCCAGCGCUGAAACCCAGCCAGCCCCAGCUGUCUGUCCAGAUGUGGGAGAGAAGGAGAGGCAAGGUCCAACAGGGGAUGAGGGCCUACAACAAAAAAGGGCUCCAGAAAGAAUGGAGCAAAAAGAGAACCAAGACAGCGAGAAAGAGAGAGAGAAAAAGAGGAAGAUGGAGAGAUGUCAAGGGGAAGUCUGAAUUUGUUCCCAGGGUCUUCAAGUAAAAUGUGGACGAUGAAUGGAAAGGUGUCACAAAGGCUUCCAUUUAAUCUCCGGAUGGUUCAAAAUGAGAGGAUCAAUGACACCAGACUGUGCCUACUUCGAAAAGUCAGCGCAAUCAAGUCUGAUCUCAUGAUCUCAGUGGACUGGAACAUGACCUGUCCCAGAGAGCGCAGACUUGGCAUAGUCGUAUCCAUUUAGUCGUUCAUGCUUGCCUGUGCAGGUCCUUCCAGGCCGGUCCUGAUUUAUGAACGGCCCCUGAGCUCUCACUCCAUCCUGGAGGGGCUCUCUGAUUAGAGAUGGAGAAGAGAGGGUGAGUGCAAACACUCAUGCAUCCACUCACACACCCCAGCAUUUGGUUCUAAUUAUACACGGGGCGACUUCAGGGCCGGGUGUCAUCUAGAACACGGAGCUAGAUUUACACUUGACAUGUUUUAUUCACACAGGUUGGUCCUGGCCUGGUAAUUGCAACAUAUUAUCUGGGCCGAUUCAUCAAAGGGAGCAGCCUGCUACAGUAAACUUUUAAAUGAAUGACUCAUAUGGGUCGCAGACGUGAAAAGUGGAGGGUUUUAUUAACAGAAAAGAGUGAACCAACAAGUACAGUCCAAAUGCUUGGGUAAAAGAGGUGUUUGUGAAAUGUUUAUGCCUUUUUUGAGAAAUACUUGGAAGUGGGCUCUGUUUUUGCAGAACAAGAUUGAGGUUUGAUCAGCCAUCGUUUGGUGGCAGUAAUUUAUGUCAUUUUUCAGCCAUCUUAAAACCAAAAUGUGGCACAACAGAUGAGAAUAUACCUUCUGUUAUGGUUGUUAGCCAAGGGCUACCCCUUGCUGAUUUAACAGGAGUGUUAAUAUGUGAAGCUAGUAAACACACCAGUGGAAUCAGAGACUUAAACACGCUGCCCUGCACUUAAUGCACUGAAGGCCUUAAUGUACAGCAAUGAAUUGAAACUGGGGGAGAUACAGUAAGUGUGGUAUGUGUACAUUUACAUUUAGUCAUUUACCAGACAGU
ensembl:lncRNA